GAGUGGUUGAGUCUAGUAGAGUCGUAACAUCAACGAUGUACCAUCUAUUCCGACAAGCACAAGUGCAAAGAUUUAAUAAAGAGUGCGGGUUCUUGUAGCGAGCAACGAAAGCGACUCGUCGUAGUCGCUGGAAAUUUGUUGCUUGUUUAGAAACGAUAAGUGUAUGCACAUCGUGAAAAUGUGAAACAAGGAGCCGCAUUUCAUUAAUAGUGAGUGAAAGAAAGAGCGUUAGAAAGGAAGAAGGGAAGAUAGUAGCUAUAUCAAUCCUUCAAAGAAAGACAAAAGGAGACGAGGAGGGAAGAAGCAUCGUGAUUUCGGAAUAUCGAUGGACGGAACAGUGAGAAGCUUGCAGCGACGAACAGAUACACAAGGAGGGAUGUCCCGCAACAAUGGCCCUGGUCUUUACGAGUUUCUUAUGGAAGCCGAGUUACAGCAAUAUUAUCCCGGCAUUCGAGGGGACUUGAAAGUGCAAACAACAGCACAAUUAAAAUAUGUAACCGAAGAAGAUCUGAACGCGAUAGGAAUGAGCAAGCCGGAGAUGCGUCGUUUAAAGAAAUAUUUCCAGAAACAUUUCCCUCAGAAUUAUCUCUCCAAGUUUAAGAAAAUGCUCCUACCGAAACGCGAGGAGCAGACUCCCAGCGCGUUGGGUAUAUUGCCGGAAGAGAGGCAAGACAGAUCGUCAAUUCGCGUGCCUAAUAAACAUAUGAUUCCGGCCGAUGCGAUAAUCGUGAACAAAGAACUGGGAACCGGAGAAUUCGGGGUCGUGCAGCAAGGCGUGUGGACGAAUGACGGAGAGAGAAUACAGGUGGCGAUCAAAUGUCUGUCGCGCGAGAGAAUGCAGAACAAUCCCAUAGAGUUUUUGAAAGAGGCUGCGAUAAUGCACGCGAUUGAUCACGAACACAUUGUGCGAUUGUACGGCGUCGUGCUCGAUACGAAUUCGCUGAUGCUCGUCACGGAAUUGGCACCGUUGCGCUCGUUACUGGAAUGUCUGAAGGAGCCUAGUUUGCGCGCGAGUUUCCCGGUUCUGUCGCUGUGCGACUUUGCUGUGCAGAUCGCUGAUGGAAUGCAAUAUCUGGAGGCGAAAAGAUUGAUACAUCGCGAUCUCGCCGCCAGAAACAUCCUAGUAUUUUCUAAGAACAAAGUCAAAAUCUCAGAUUUCGGCUUGUCGCGCGCGCUCGGAGUAGGUAAAGAUUAUUAUCAGACGAAUUUCAAUGUCAAUCUGAAGUUACCUAUCGCAUGGUGCGCGCCCGAAUGUAUAUCUUAUCUAAAAUUUACAUCGGCUAGCGACGUCUGGGCGUACGGAGUGACGUUAUGGGAAAUGUUCAGUUAUGGGUUUCAACCCUGGGCGGCUUUGACCGGUCAUCAGAUCCUCGAAGCGAUAGAUGAGCCCAACUUCCAGAGGCUGGAGCAACCCGAGUGUUGUCCGAAGGACUAUUUUUCCCUCAUGCAACAAUGUUGGCAGCACGAACCUUCGAAAAGACCCAAGUUUUCCGAACUGAUCAACUUGUUGCCCGAUCUAAAACCAGAGCAGGUGCAAGCAGUCCAAGAUAGCAAUGAAUCAGGUCAACUCGUUUAUAGACAAAGCGACGUAAUUACCGUUCUGGAUAAGGGUAGCAAUAACACUUUGUGGAAAGGUGUUUUGAACAAUGGCAAAACGGGAUUUUUCAAUCCGGCUCAUACUAUCGCGUAUCUCGGCUCUAAUUUACCCAGCAACAAACCCGGUGAAUUUACGAGAGGGGACGGUAAAAACGCAUUCUCCUCGCAGCGUAGAAAAAUACGCACGGAUAUGAUAUCCUCGCCACAGGGUGAUCUCAAGCAUACCGGUCAUGUGGGUCUGGAUGGGGCUUACUUCGGUGACAUUAGCUUUCUGGGUGGAAAAUAUCCCCAUUUGCCACGUCAGGUUGUAACGCCGUACAAACCGCAGGAGGAUGCGACUGACAGUGCUAGUCAAAUUCCAAACCGAGAUACAAGAAAUGUCGAUGUAAACAGGGAAUCGGCAGGAGAGAAUAGAAACGUGCAACAACAAGAGACGCAAAGCAAACACGAGAGUUUAUGGUCUGAUACAAGUUCGGAGAUAUGCCACGUCACUACGGAAGGCAAUGGGAACAAGCAAUCUAUGACAUCUAAUAUAGGUAGUUGUGCUAAUAUCCUCGGAACUGAUCAUGAAUACCAUGAAAUCAGCGACGAAGAGAACCAAGAGAGUCCGUUAAGAUUUGAUAAAACGUUAAACUUUGAUUUUGGUCCGAGUCUUUUGGCGGAAAUGGAUCAGAUGUUUAGAUCACUAGGUUCUUCUCCUCCUUUACCGCCACCUGGACAUCCUUUGUCCACUGAACAUGAGUCAAGUAACGCGAGAAACGAACUGAGAGAAAUUCAAGCAAAACAGUGUAACAAGAAGAAACAAGCCACCGUGAGUCCAAUAAAUGUGAAGCCUAUCUCAGCUGCUGAUCAGAAAACUCUCUACUCAGCUAUUGCUAUGGCACAGGAAUUGACAGCACGUUCCAUGACAGAUCUUGAACAUCCACCGGAGUCUCCCCGAACACCUGCCAGUCCUUCAAGACGCAGGAAAUUCUCUUUUAAGUUGCCACAUCAACACAGUCCCAAAUCAGACAGGCGACAUUAUUCCGAGGAAGCUGCCAGUAUACCUGAUUUCCAGGCCACUUUGUCGGACGAAGCUAAGGAAGUGUACAACAGCUUGGUGGAGACGCCAAUAAUGGAGAGCACCGGGGACACGAAUCCGUUGCGCAUGUUGCGCUCCGGACUGCCUAUAGUGAGGCCUAGAGUUCGCGGCAACAAGCAUACCACCUUUGGCCAUUCCGUAUCGUCACAUUCGGAGGACACAUCUAGCGAGCAUAAUUUCCACUUCGAUAUGCACUAUAGCGGCGCAAGAACACUGCCCAAGAUACGGGCGGCCCCUCCUUCCCACGCGACUUUGUCUUUGCCGCAAUCGCGCAUUCUCGAGAAGCAUCAUUCGAACUUGGAGAUCGAGAACAAUCAAAACGAGAGCAAUAUCGACGAAAACCCGAUACCUCUGCCGCCCAGAGACCGUUCUAAGACGCUUCAGCCCAAGUCCAGCUUGCCGCGACAUCAGAGAAAACAUCCGCUAAUCAUUCCUGGCGGCGGUGUCACCAGAACGCUGGCCAAGAUGGCGGUCUCCACAUCGUCCGUAGAAGAUCAAGUAGACGGGCAGAUUGUAUUGCAGAAUGCCAAUUCAUCGAUCGCUGGAACCUUGUUGCAAGACAACUAUUGCUCGGACGUUUUUGCUAACAGCCCAGAGGAAUUCGAGCAACGCAUAGAUUCUGAGUUAGCCGCAUUAGAUUCUUUAUCGAUCGAGGAAAGUCGACUUCGACGAUGCAGUGUGAUAUCGGAAGAUCUGCUGGAAUUCUCGGACAGCUUAAUUGACUGCGACGACGCGUCAGAUCUGCAUCAAAAUGUCACGAAAGUAAACAAUGAUGGGCAAUCGAAUAAUUCGUUAACUAUGACAGACAAUGUACGUAGAAAAAUCAGCGUCGAAUCAAAAAGCUCCGCGAAGAGUUCGGCAUCGAAGAUACGAGAGAAUACAGAAGCGGAUCUUAACCAAAGUUCGACCAAUUCUAUUAGAGCAGAAGAUUGGAAAAAGAUUGAUCCUUUGACUACUGUGAUCCGAGGACAAAUUCCAUCCGCGAGGAUCCCAUUAAUACAACAGACUCCGUUGAAUUAUGCCACGCAAAUGGAUCACGUACACACAGAAGGAAUCUCUUGCAAACUCAAAACUAUCGAGGAACCAUUGGUACACAUUGGUUCGAACGAUUUUCACACGACUGUUCUUCCACAAGGCUAUCUUUCAUCCAACGAGAAAACAUCGAAUUGCAUCAGCGAUCUGUCGCGGCAGUCGGAUCAUGUCUCUUGUGAGGAUUUAUUGGAGUUUGCCUGCGACGGACCGAAUGCACGGAGGACGCGCGGACCACGCAACGGGGAGCAAUCCGACGAAGUGCGGAUAAUGCUGAAGGUGUUGCACGAACAGUCGACGCCGGAAUCGUGCAUCGCUGCGUUAAACGUCACCGAGUGGGAUGUUCUGGCCGCUAUUAAGUUGGAGCGGCUUCAAGGGCUUCUCAAGAAGGAGAAUAGUUUUGUCGGCCUUGAGGAUUGUAAAGUUAUGCUGAAUCAGUGCGGCGGUGACGUUGUUAAGGCUGCCGCGCUACUGCGAAGCACGGAAGACACUGCCGCGGUUUAAUGUGACUGGAUCGUAGACUUGAAAAAUACUCCGAUCGAAUUUUAAGCCAGUGAGGAUGAGGACGUACUUGAGAUACGAGGGCGUAUAAAUGAAUGGUACAGGAGUGCCAGAGACGGGCUUGAAUCAGCGCUGCAAACAGUUAUUAGGUUGCACUUUUCAAAAUUGUUUUUUGUAGAUUAAACUAAAAUUUGCAUAUUUGAAAAAAAUAAUUUUAUUGAAUCAAAAUAUGCAUUAUUAGUGUUCAUAUUUCUUCCAACAGAAAUGUAAUAAUACAUUGACUUGCAUUCAGUUUUUGCAUUAAUAUAUUAAAUUAUACUAUUAUGAAA
rnacentral:misc_RNA from 1 species